rnacentral:rRNA from 1 species
CCUACGGGAGGCAGCAGUGAGGAAUAUUGGUCAAUGGACGAGAGUCUGAACCAGCCAAGUAGCGUGAAGGAUGACUGCCCUAUGGGUUGUAAACUUCUUUUAUAAAGGAAUAAAACGAGGCACGUGUGCCUUUUUGCAUGUACUUUAUGAAUAAGGAUCGGCUAACUCCGUGCCAGCAGCCGCGGUAAUACGGAGGAUCCGAGCGUUAUCCGGAUUUAUUGGGUUUAAAGGGAGCGUAGAUGGGUUGUUAAGUCAGUUGUGAAAGUUUGCGGCUCAACCGUAAAAUUGCAAUUGAUACUGGCAGUCGUGAGUACAGUUGAGGUAGGCGGAAUUCGUGGUGUAGCGGUGAAAUGCUUAGAUAUCACGAAGAACUCCGAUUGCGAAGGCAGCUUACUAAACUGCCACUGACAUUGAUGCUCGAAAGUGUGGGUAUCAAACAGGAUUAGAUACCCCGGUAGUC